AUUGAACGCUGGCGGCAGGCCUAACACAUGCAAGUCGAACGAGUGGCGGACGGGUGAGUAAUGUCUGGGAAACUGCCUGAUGGAGGGGGAUAACUACGGGAAACGGUAGCUAAUACCGCAUACCAUCGGAUGUGCCCAGAUGGGAGUAGCUAGUAGGUGGGGUAAAGGCACACCUAGGCGACGAUCACGAGCUGGUCGGAGAGGAUGACUGUCCACACUGGAACUGAGACGCAGUCCAGACGCCUACGGGAGGCAGCAGGGGGGAAUAUUGCACAAUGGGCUCAAGCCUGAUGCAGUCAUGCCGCGUGUAUGAAGAAGGCCUUCGGGUUGUAAAGUACUUUCAGCGGGGAGGCGUUACCCGCAGAAGAGGCACCGGCUAACUCCGUGCCAGCAGCCGCGGUAAUUC
rnacentral:rRNA from 1 species